CUACUUGCCCUUAGAGUUUGAUCCUGGCUCAGGAUGAACGCUAGCUACAGGCUUAACACAUGCAAGUCGAGGGGAAACGACAUCGAAAGCUUGCUUUUGAUGGGCGUCGACCGGCGCACGGGUGAGUAACGCGUAUCCAACCUGCCCACCACUUGGGGAUAACCUUGCGAAAGUAAGACUAAUACCCAAUGACGUCUCUAGAGGACAUCUGAAAGAGAUUAAAGAUUUAUCGGUGAUGGAUGGGGAUGCGUCUGAUUAGCUUGUUGGCGGGGUAACGGCCCACCAAGGCUACGAUCAGUAGGGGUUCUGAGAGGAAGGUCCCCCACAUUGGAACUGAGACACGGUCCAAACUCCUACGGGAGGCAGCAGUGAGGAAUAUUGGUCAAUGGACGAGAGUCUGAACCAGCCAAGUAGCGUGCAGGAUGACGGCCCUAUGGGUUGUAAACUGCUUUUAUAAGGGAAUAAAGUGAGAGUCGUGACUCUUUUUGCAUGUACCUUAUGAAUAAGGACCGGCUAAUUCCGUGCCAGCAGCCGCGGUAAUACGGAAGGUCCGGGCGUUAUCCGGAUUUAUUGGGUUUAAAGGGAGCGUAGGCCGGAGAUUAAGCGUGUUGUGAAAUGUAGAUGCUCAACAUCUGCACUGCAGCGCGAACUGGUUUCCUUGAGUACGCACAAAGUGGGCGGAAUUCGUGGUGUAGCGGUGAAAUGCUUAGAUAUCACGAAGAACUCCGAUUGCGAAGGCAGCUCACUGGAGCGCAACUGACGCUGAAGCUCGAAAGUGCGGGUAUCGAACAGGAUUAGAUACCCUGGUAGUCCGCACGGUAAACGAUGGAUGCCCGCUGUUGGUCUGAAUAGGUCAGCGGCCAAGCGAAAGCAUUAAGCAUCCCACCUGGGGAGUACGCCGGCAACGGUGAAACUCAAUUGAAUUGACGG
rnacentral:rRNA from 1 species